CGGUGGGUCUUAGGCGGGGGGCUAGGGGUCCCCUGCACCGUAAACCCUCUAUACGACGGGCCGACAGCUGAGGCUGAGGCAUCCGUGGCCGCCUAAACCCUUCACGCCGAAACAAAGACUACCCGUCCCUUGGGGCUGGCGGUCGCUGGGCGGCUUCCGUAGGGAAGCUGUCUCCAGCGUUUACCAGGUGAACUUGGCCAGGCCUGGGAGGGAGCAACCUAAGCUUGGACGUUCAGCGCUCGAGGGGGUGCGGGUACGAGUGUAGGUUUGAAGGGUUCGGCGAAUUCUGGAUGUCGAACCUCAGUGACCCACCG
rnacentral:SRP_RNA from 1 species